GAUGAACGCUGGCGGCGUGCCUAAUACAUGCAAGUCGGACGGAGCGCUUCGGCGCUCAGUGGCGAACGGGUGAGUAGCACAUGGGCAACCUGCCCUUCAGAGGGGGACAACAGCUGGAAACGACUGCUAAUACCGCAUAAGCCCACGACCCGGCAUCGGGUUGAGGAAAAAGGAGCAAUCCGCUUUGAGAUGGCCUCGCGUCCGAUUAGCUGGUUGGUGAGGUAACGGCCCACCAAGGCAACGAUCGGUAGCCGGACUGAGAGGUUGAACGGCCACAUUGGGACUGAGACACGGCCCAG
rnacentral:rRNA from 1 species